UUCUAUGGCCGUUGUUGGUGCAUAGCAGCAAUACAAGUUCAGCGUUCAACGGCGAUGGUUUAUAUACAGUUUGCUUACGGAAAUUUAAUUCAGUCUGCUUUAAGCAUUCAAACGGUGAAAUGUGUGUUAGUACGCUAUCAACAUAUAAAUCAGCAAACCGCAAAAUUUAUACAAAAUUCAAACGUCAAACAAACUCAUCAAAAUAUUCAUCAAAAUAGCGGCUGAGGCAUUGAAGCAUCAAAAACCUUUGAUGGCCAGCAUUGCUACAAAAUUACCAAAUAACCAAAGCAUUUAUUGUGAUAUUCUGGAACAACAAAAUGUGAUAUAUGAGUUAUUUAAAGUGUUGAGGACAAGUGCAAGUAAUGUGAUAAUUGAACUAAAAUGCAAUAAGAGACCUUUAAAAAUAAUGUGAUAAAUGAACUGAAAUAUAUUAAAACACUGUUAGAAAUGAUAAAAACAGUGCAAAG